rnacentral:rRNA from 1 species
GAUGAACGCUGGCGGCGUGCCUAAUACAUGCAAGUCGAGCGAACAGAUAAGGAGCUUGCUCCUUUGACGUUAGCGGCGGACGGGUGAGUAACACGUGGGUAACCUACCUAUAAGACUGGGAUAACUUCGGGAAACCGGAGCUAAUACCGGAUAACAUUUGGAACCGCAUGGUUCUAAAGUGAAAGAUGGUUUUGCUAUCACUUAUAGAUGGACCCGCGCCGUAUUAGCUAGUUGGUAAGGUAACGGCUUACCAAGGCAACGAUACGUAGCCGACCUGAGAGGGUGAUCGGCCACACUGGAACUGAGACACGGUCCAGACUCCUACGGGAGGCAGCAGUAGGGAAUCUUCCGAAAUGGGCGAAAGCCUGACGGAGCAACGCCGCGUGAGUGAUGAAGGGUUUCGGCUCGUAAAACUCUGUUAUUAGGGAAGAACAAAUGUGUAAGUAACUGUGCACGUCUUGACGGUACCUAAUCAGAAAGCAACGGCUAACUACGUG